CUGGCUCUGAACGAACGCUGGCGGCGGGGUUAGGCAUGCAAGUCGAGGGAGAAAGCCUUCGGGGUGAGUACACCGGCGCAAGGGUGAGUAAUGGCUAGUUAAUGUACCUCGAGGACCUGGAUAAUUCCCCGAAAGGGGUUGUAAAACGGGAUGAGACCACGUGCACCACGGUGCACGUGAUCAAAGUCGUGGGAUCCUUCGGGACCACGAGCCUCGGGAGCGGACUAGCUCCGAUUAGCUUGUUGGUGGGGUCACGGCCUACCAAGGCGAUGAUCGGUAGCCGGCCUGAGAGGGUGUUCGGCCACACUGGGACUGAGACACUGCCCAGACUCCUACGGGAGGCUGCAGUCGCGAAUCUUCCACAAUGGGCGCAAGCCUGAUGGAGCCACGCCGCGUGCAGGACGAAGGCUUUAGGGUUGUAAACUGCUGUCGAGAUGGGGGAAGGGCGUACGGUGAAUAGUCGUGCGCUUGACUGCCAUCUGAAGGAAGCACCGGCUAAACACGUGCCAGCAGCCGCGGUAAUACGUGUGGUGCAAGCGUUGUUCGGAAUUACUGGGCAUAAAGGGUGCGUAGGCGGCCCGUUAAGUCAGGGGUGAAAGCCGUUGGCCCAACCAACGAAUUGCCUCUGAUACUGAUGGGCUCGAGUGUGCUAGGGGUGAGCGGAACGAGUGGUGUAGCGGUGAAAUGCGUAGAUAUCACUCGGAAGGCCGGAGCCGAAGGGGGCUCACUGGGGCACAACUGACGCUGAUGCACGAAAGCGUGGGGAGCCAAACAGGAUUAGAUACCCUGGUAGUCCACGCCGUAAACGUUGAGCACUAGGUG
rnacentral:rRNA from 1 species